rnacentral:rRNA from 1 species
CUAACCAUGCAAGUCGAGCGGAAACGAAGAGGUGCUUGCACCUCUGGCGUCGAGCGGCGGACGGGUGAGUAAUGCUUGGGAACAUGCCUUGAGGUGGGGGACAACCGUUGGAAACGACGGCUAAUACCGCAUAAUGUCUACGGACCAAAGGGGGCUUCGGCUCUCGCCUUUAUAUNGGUGGGAUUAGCUAGUUGGUGAGGUAAUGGCUUACCAAGGCGACGAUCCCUAGCUGGUUUGAUUGG